rnacentral:rRNA from 1 species
UGGAGCAAACAGGAUUAGAUACCCUGGUAGUCCACGCCGUAAACGAUGAGUGCUAGGUGUUGGCAUGCGAGUGUCAGUGCCGGAGUUAACACAUUAAGCACUCCGCCUGGGGAGUACGGUCGCAAGACUGAAACUCAAAGGAAUUGACGGGGGCCCGCACAAGCAGCGGAGCAUGUGGUUUAAUUCGAAGCAACGCGAAGAACCUUACCAGGUCUUGACAUCCCGGUGACCGGUCCAGAGAUGGAUCUUUCUCUUCGGAGACACCGGUGACAGGUGGUGCAUGGUUGUCGUCAGCUCGUGUCGUGAGAUGUUGGGUUAAGUCCCGCAACGAGCGCAACCCUUAUCUUUAGUUGCCAGCAUUUAGUUGGGCACUCUAGAGAGACUGCCGGUGACAAACCGGAGGAAGGUGGGGAUGACGUCAAAUCAUCAUGCCCCUUAUGACCUGGGCUACACACGUGCUACAAUGGUCGGUACAACGGGAAGCGAAAGAGUGAUCUGGAGCGAAUCCUAAUAAGCCGAUCCCAGUUCGGAUUGUAGGCUGCAACUCGCCUACAUGAAGUCGGAGUUGCUAGUAAUCGCGGAUCAGAAUGUCGCGGUGAAUGCGUUCCCGGGCCUUGUACACACCGCCCGUCACA